rnacentral:tRNA from 2 species
UCCCUCGUGGCGCAAUUGGCUAGCGCGUUCGACUGUUAUUUCUAAUCAGGGGCAUCGAGAGGUUGGUGGUUCGAGCCCACCCGAGGGAG